GAUGAACGCUGGCGGCGUGCCUAACACAUGCAAGUCGAGCGAUUCUCUUCGGAGAAGAGCGGCGGACGGGUGAGUAACGCGUGGGUAACUUGCCCUGUACACACGGAUAACAUACCGAAAGGUAUGCUAAUACGAGAUAAUAUGCUUUUAUCGCAUGGUAGAAGUAUCAAAGCUUUUGCGGUACAGGAUGGACCCGCGUCUGAUUAGCUAGUUGGUAAGGUAACGGCUUACCAAGGCGACGAUCAGUAGCCGACCUGAGAGGGUGAUCGGCCACAUUGGAACUGAGACACGGUCCAAACUCCUACGGGAGGCAGCAGUGGGGAAUAUUGCACAAUGGGCGAAAGCCUGAUGCAGCAACGCCGCGUGAGCGAUGAAGGCCUUCGGGUCGUAAAGCUCUGUCCUCAAGGAAGAUAAUGACGGUACUUGAGAAGAAGCCCCGGCUAACUUCGUGCCAGCAGCCGCCGUAACAC
rnacentral:rRNA from 1 species